GAACUUUCCAGAGAUGGAUUGGUGCCUUCGGGAACUCUGAGACAGGUGCUGCAUGGCUGUCGUCAGCUCGUGUUGUGAAAUGUUGGGUUAAGUCCCGCAACGAGCGCAACCCUUAUCCUUUGUUGCCAGCGGUUAGGCCGGGAACUCAAAGGAGACUGCCAGUGAUAAACUGGAGGAAGGUGGGGAUGACGUCAAGUCAUCAUGGCCCUUACGAGUAGGGCUACACACGUGCUACAAUGGCGCAUACAAAGAGAAGCGACCUCGCGAGAGCAAGCGGACCUCAUAAAGUGCGUCGUAGUCCGGAUUGGAGUCUGCAACUCGACUCCAUGAAGUCGGAAUCGCUAGUAAUCGUGGAUCAGAAUGCCACGGUGAAUACGUUCCCGGGCCUUGUACACACCGCCCGUCACACCAUGGGAGUGGGUUGCAAAAGAAGUAGGUAGCUUAACCUUCGGGAGGGCGCUUACCACUUCGUGAUUCAUGACUGGGGUGAAGUCGUAACAAGGUAGGCGUAGUGCU
rnacentral:rRNA from 1 species